rnacentral:rRNA from 1 species
GACGAACGCUGGCGGCGCGCCUAACACAUGCAAGUCGAACGAGCGAGAGAGAGCUUGCUUUCUCGAGCGAGUGGCGAACGGGUGAGUAACGCGCGAGGAACCUGCCUCAAAGAGGGGGACAACAGUUGGAAACGACUGCUAAUACCGCAUAAGCCCACGGCUCGGCAUCGAGCAGGGGGAAAAGGAGCAAUCCGCUUUGAGAUGGCCUCGCGUCCGAUUAGCUAGUUGGUGAGGUAACGGCCCACCAAGGCGACGAUCGGUAGCCGGACUGAGAGGUUGAACGGCCACAUUGGGACUGCGACACGGCCCAGACUCCUACGGGAGGCAGCAGUGGGGAAUAUUGCACAAUGGGGGAAACCCUGAUGCCGCGACGCCGCGUGGAGGAAGAAGGUCUUCGGAUUGUAAACUCCUGUUGUUGGGGAAGAUAAUGACGGUACCCAACAAGGAAGUGACGGCUAACUACGUG